UAUAAAUGCUUUUGUGGGUUUCCGUGUUCAACGUUUUGACUGUUCAUCUUAUUUGAAAAAAAUAUGAUUAGUAUUUUUAUUGUUAUUAGAUGAUAAAAUAUGAAUAGUAUUUUAUAUAUGUAUGUGACUAAUUAUUUUUUUAAUAAAAUUUUCAAAUAAGACGGACGGUCAAACGUUGCACACGGAAAUUCACAACUAUACUUAUA
rfam:Oryza glaberrima chromosome 7 Oglab07_0031_8, whole genome shotgun sequence.